rnacentral:rRNA from 1 species
UACGGAGGGAGCUAGCGUUGUUCGGAAUUACUGGGCGUAAAGCGCACGUAGGCGGCUUUUUAAGUCAGGGGUGAAAUCCCGGGGCUCAACCCCGGAACUGCCCUUGAAACUGGAGAGCUAGAAUCUUGGAGAGGCGAGUGGAAUUCCGAGUGUAGAGGUGAAAUUCGUAGAUAUUCGGAAGAACACCAGUGGCGAAGGCGACUCACUGGACAGGUAUUGACGCUGAGGUGCGAAAGCGUGGGGAGCAAACAGG